rnacentral:rRNA from 1 species
UUGGCGGACGGGUGAGUAACGCGUGGGGGAACCUGCCCUGUACAGGGGGAUAACACUUAGAAAUAGGUGCUAAUACCGCAUAAGCGCACAGUAUCGCAUGAUACAGUGUGAAAAACUCCGGUGGUACAGGAUGGACCCGCGUCUGAUUAGCUGGUUGGCGGGGUAACGGCCCACCAAGGCGACGAUCAGUAGCCGGGCCUGAGAGGGUGAACCGGCCACAUUGGGACUGAGACACGGCCCAAACUCCUACGGAAGGCAGCAG